GUGUCAGCAGCCGCGGUAAUACGAAGGGGGCUAGCGUUGUUCGGAAUUACUGGGCGUAAAGGGCGCGCAGGCGGUCCUUCAAGUCAGAUGUGAAAGCCCCGGGCUCAACCUGGGAACUGCAUUUGAGACUGAAGGACUAGAGUUCGGGAGAGGAUGGUGGAAUUCCCAGUGUAGAGGUGAAAUUCGUAGAUAUUGGGAAGAACACCGGUGGCGAAGGCGGCCAUCUGGACCGAUACUGACGCUGAGGCGCGAAAGCGUGGGGAGCAAACAGGAUUAGAUACCCUGGUAGUCCACGCCGUAAACGAUGUGCGCUAGACGUUGGGGGGCGUAGCCCUUCGGUGUCGCAGCUAACGCGGUAAGCGCACCGCCUGGGGAGUACGGCCGCAAGGUUAAA
rnacentral:rRNA from 1 species